UUUAAACGACUCUCGGCAACGGAUAUCUCGGCUCUUGCAUCGAUGAAGAACGUAGCGAAAUGCGAUACUUGGUGUGAAUUGCAGAAUCCCGUGAACCAUCGAGUCUUUGAACGCAAGUUGCGCCCGAGGCCAUUUAGGUUGAGGGCACGUCUGCCUGGGCGUCACACACAGCGUCGUUCCCAAC
rnacentral:rRNA from 1 species